AAGGUCACUAAAACAAGAGGAAAAGAUGAUGAAGGAGGAGGAAUUUUAUUAAGCACAAUGGAGACAGGCUUAGGUCUUCAAAAAUACAACAGGGUAAUUUAAUGCUUAAAAAAAAUGACAGGAUGUAUCAUAUAACCCAGAACUUCUAAUCUAGGAAUCUGUCCAAAAUUUUUUCUAAAUGUUUACAAAGAUACAUGUACAAAGACAUUCAUUGCGACAGUAUUCAUACGUUUGGAAGCAACUUAAAUGCCUGGCAAUAGCGGGCUGUUGAAUAAACUAUCCAUACUAUUGACUCCUGGACCACCAUGAAAAAUAAGGUAUAUCUCUAUGUACGGAAUGAAAAGUUUUACAAGACAUAUUAUAUUCAAAAAAGCAAGUGGCAGAACACUACAUGCAGUUUACUAUGUAUAAAAUUUAUUUUCAAAAUCGAGAGUAUUUAAGUAUCUAUAUGUGCUAUGGACUGUUAAUAGCAAUUACCUCUGGGCAGGAAAAAAGGAAUAGAGGAGAUAUAAAGAAAGUAUCAUCAUGUUUUAUUUUAUUCUACAUACAUACUUCCUGAAACUUGUACAGUGAGAAUAAGUGCAUGUAUUACUUACAUAUGAUUUUUAAAACUUUUUAAAAAUUCAUAAAAAAUCGCAAUAGCUACAAAGUAGGCAGCUGUUCACGUUAAAUAAUGAAGGUUAAGAGGAAAGAAUUUAUGAGCAAGUAGGCGUUCUUAAAGUAAGAAUAGUAGUAUUUUGGAUUCAGAAAAACACAUUCUUCUGAAGUGCUCAAAGUAUAUCCGUUGAGUCUGUUUUCAAUUCUGUAUGCUAAGGAUGUAAAGCAACAGCAAUUGAUUUUUUUAAAUUGCUAGCUCUAUGAUGUAUUGCAUGGCUUUUCUCCCUCAACAGCUUGUUCACGGAGUUGUUUUGCUAAGAUUCAUAUGACAGUUUACUUUGCAACUCUGAGCACACACCUAUGGCAAUGAAGGGGACUGGGCUCUGUGCUGAAUGAUGGAAGAAUAGAGUCUAUUAUGAAGGACACGGUGAUAGCCACAAAAGCACCCUGGUGAGUUCCGGUUAUGUUGCACCAGGAAAAUGUGGAUGUAGGGUUGAUUCCACACAUACUCAAGAUUAGAAUCCUUCAAUUCUUUUUCAUCAGUUAUGACAGCCAGAUGGCUUAGCAUGGAGAUGUGAAGCCUAAGGCAUGAAAAAACUUGAGAAGAGCAAAGGGCCAAGGUUUAAUGAAGAGCUAAGGGCUCCACCAGGGAAUGCUGCCUAUAGAAAAUUACACUCUAAAUUUGACUGGACUCACUAGUCAAAUUUAUAGAGAUAGAAAGUAGAACAGUGGUUACCAGGGACUUGGGGGAGAAGGGAAUAGUUAUUGUUUACUGCGUACAGAUUUCACUAUAGAAUGAUCAAAGUUUCAGGGAUGGACAGUGGUGAUGGCUGUACACAAUGCAAAUGUACUUAAUGGCAGUGAAAUGUACAUUUAAAAUGGUUAAAAUGGUAAAUGUUGUUAUGUAUAUUUUAUCGAAAUAAAAAUUUUAAUCAAAAACUGUA